GCUGUGUGUUCCAAGUCGCCCCAUACUCCAAUCUUUCUUGCAAUCUUGUUUCGUUUGGUUCGUGCGUCGUGGCCUCUAUUUCAUCGUAAACUGACAAAGUGGUAUUGAAGGUAGCGCUUAAAUCCCUUGAACGCACAACACAUUUUAGAUCUUGGUUGAAGUUCGAUUUCGCUAAUACUCAAGAUAUUUUUCGUGGACCUUAGUUGAUUAAGGAGCUUCCCUAACUCGAGGAAUUAUGCCGCCAAAGAGGUGUUCGUAGAGGAGGUCGUAGAGGCCGGGGUAGAGGAGCAGGUCUUAAUCAACCUACUGAGGGUCAAGCUGAACAGCGAAUUCCUGCUGCACCCGUGACUCACGUUGAGUUGUUGCACUGUUUGCUCACAUGGAGCAGAGGUUCACGGAGCUUAUGACGGCUAUAGCUCAGAACCAGCAGGUACCUGCAGUUCCACCUGCACCAGUUGUUUCGCCUGCACCGGUGGUUCCCCCUGUACCAGCAGCUCCACCUGCACCAGCAGCCCCUCUUGCACAAGGAUUGGCUGCACAACAGCCACAGAUACAACCGAACCAGCUUUCUACUCAGGCGAAACAUUUGAGAGACUUUAGGAAAUAUGACCCUCAGACGUUUGAUGGGUCACUGGAGGAUCCUACUAAAGCUGAGUUGUGGUUGUCCUCUGUGGAAACCAUAUUUAAUUACAUGAGAUGUCCAGAGGAGCAUAGGGUUCAGUGUGCUGCUUUUCUUCUGAGGGACAGAGGUAUUAUUUGGUGGAGGACUACGAUGUGUAUGUUAGGUGGAGAUGUGAGACAGAUCACUUGGGAUCAGUUUAAAGACUGCUUCUAUACCAAGUUUUUCUCGGCUAACCUUAGAGACGCCAAAAGCCAGGAGUUCUUGGAAUUGAAGCAAGGACACAUGACAGUUGAGGAGUAUGACCAGGAGUUUGAUAUGCUGUCGCGCUUUGCCCCUGAAUUUGUUGGUAAUGAGCAGGCUAGAGCUGAAAGGUUUGUCAAAGGAUUGAGAGAUGAGAUUAGAGGCUUUGUGCGAGCACUAAAGCCACUACCCAGGCUGAAGCGCUGCGUCUGGCAGUGGAUAUGAGUAUUGGGAAGGACGAAAUUCAGGCAAGGAGUUCUGAUAAGGGAACGUCGUCUAGUCAGAAGAGGAAAGCAGAGCAGAGAAUUGUGGGAGUUCCUCAGAGGAACUUGAGAUCAGGCGAUCCUUUUCGCAGUUUCCAGCAGAGUUCUGGUGGGGCAGGAGACACUACUAGAGAGAAGCCACUAUGCAAUACGUGUGGGAAACGCCACCUGGGUCAUUGUUUGAUGGGAACGAGAGUCUGUUAUAAGUGCAAGCAAGAGGGACACAUGGCUGAUCGAUGUCCCUUGAGAUCUACUGGGGCUGGACAGAGCAGUGAGGGAGCGAGACCUCCACAACGGGUACAAUCUUUGCCACUAGUAGAUCAGAAGCAGAGAAGGUCGGCAUAGUGGUGACAGAGCUUGGAUUGUCUCCUCCAGUUGGUUAAAGGAAAGCUACCAGGAAGGCAUAUUUGUUGACGAGUUGCCUUACAUACUAAAUGAUGAUGACUACAUAUCGAAGUAUCGAGCCAGCUUAAAAGCUGCAGUUCUCAGGGCAAAAGCAUGUCCUGGAGUUUUAUUUGAAGGGUAUGAUAUUUGCAUAUCAGCUCACGCUCAACCACCACCUAAAACUCUAUCCCUGAUAGUCAAGUCAGCCGGUGGAAAUGUCGGUUCGUUGCACUUUAGUUUGAAAAAGAAGCUUAAGUAAGGUUAUAAGGCAAAGGUAACAAAGGAGGUAGACCGACGAGGGACAAGAAGGAGACGUGAUUGCCAUAACGGAAUGUCCUUCAAAUGCUUCCGCUUUAUGUUUCUUGUUUUUCCUUUGUACAUGAGGUUGUUUAAAAAAUUUGUGAUGGAACUAAGUUUACGAACUGUUGUUUUGUAAAUAGUACUUUUAAAGUUUUGGUUAUUUGAAAUAGGGCUCGAACUUAAGUUUGUUUUCUUUGAUCCUAUGAUUUCAAGUGAAUUUUACUAUAUUUUGUGUCAAUCAAGGUCUCUUUGUCAAAAUUAAUGAUUUCAACUUAGUGAGAAAAGUUGGGUCGUUACAACAAAUUUUAAGUA